AGCGUAGACGGACUGGCAAGUCUGAUGUGAAAGGCGGGGGCUCAACCCCUGGACUGCAUUGGAAACUGUUAGUCUUGAGUGCCGGAGAGGUAAGCGGAAUUCCUAGUGUAGCGGUGAAAUGCGUAGAUAUUAGGAGGAACACCAGUGGCGAAGGCGGCUCUCUGGACUGUAACUGACACUGAGGCACGAAAGCGUGGGAGCAAACA
rnacentral:rRNA from 1 species